ACAAGCCCAAGCUGUAUGGCAUCUGAUAUUGCUUCCCCGAGGAGGGGCUCAGAUUGGUAAAGAGCAGCAGUAUCAAAGUGUCGAUAACCUAGUUUUAUUGCAUGUAAAAUGGAGUCUUUCAUGGUCUCAGAGGAAGCACCAAAAGGGUAUUCUGCUGUUCCAAAACCUAAGAGAGGAAUAGUUUUGUCACUCGAAACAAGGAUGGUCUCUGGAAUGUUUCCCAUUUUCUCUAGGUAGCCCAGUCUCCAAUGAGUUUCUGUUCUUUAC
rnacentral:misc_RNA from 1 species